rnacentral:rRNA from 1 species
GACGAACGCUGGCGGCGUGCUUAACACAUGCAAGUCGAACGGAAAGGCCCUGCUUUUGUGGGGUGCUCGAGUGGCGAACGGGUGAGUAACACGUGAGUAACCUGCCCUUGACUUUGGGAUAACUUCAGGAAACUGGGGCUAAUACCGGAUAGGAGCUCCUGCUGCAUGGUGGGGGUUGGAAAGUUUCGGCGGUUGGGGAUGGACUCGCGGCUUAUCAGCUUGUUGGUGGGGUAGUGGCUUACCAAGGCUUUGACGGGUAGCGGGCCUGAGAGGGUGACCGGCCACAUUGGGACUGAGAUACGGCCCAGACUCCUACGGGAGGCAGCAGUGGGGAAUAUUGCACAAUGGGCGGAAGCCUGAUGCAGCAACGCCGCGUGCGGGAUGACGGCCUUCGGGUUGUAAACCGCUUUCGCCUGUGACGAAGCGUGAGUGACGGUAAUGGGUAAAGAAGCACCGGCUAACUACGUG